CGAGCUCAGUGCAAACUUGUGUCUGUGCGGGAGGUGUGUGUGUGUUGAGGCUGCCACGUUUUCGACUUUGUUAAUGUUGUUAGCGUAUGAUAUAUAUCAAAACUUAUACAUAGUUAUAUAUAUGGUUAAAGUGUACAUAUGUCUUGUAAUAUAGCAAAAUUUUAGUGUGAAUAAUCCCGUGAGAUGAUAUAAAUUUAGAGCGGCAUCCUAGGCGUGCGAAGGGUUUGUCUGUCUCUCAAGGUUAUCCUCUCGUCUUGGGGCCGCUGAACUUCAAGAACAGAUGUGGGCGUCGUUGUGAUCCAGGCCCCGGCACUAGCACUCAGCGUUAGUCUUCCACCGCUCCACCACACCUAAGAUGCCACUCAGUCCAGGUAAGGAGAGGAAGCUAAAAAGGAGGAAACACGACUUGGAUGAAUAAAUGUAAGUGGAGGAGGAAAGAGGAAGAGGAAGAGGAGGAGGAGGAGGAGGAGGAGGAGGAGGAGGAGGAGGAGGAGGAAGAAGAAAGUUGGUUUAUUAAUGACUAUUUUUUUGUAGGAGGGAGAUUAUAAAGUCGAUGUAGCUACUGGAGGGAGAGGGAGAGAGAGAGAGAGAGAGAGAGAGAGAGAGAGAGAGAGAGAGAGAGAGAGAGAGAGAGAGAGAGAGAGAGAGAGAGAGAGAGAGUCGUUUUAGUACUGCAGCAUGUAUUUAAGCUAGCAGAGAUACGUACUGUGUGUGUGUGUGUGUGUGUGUGUGUGUGUUUUCUAAGUAUCAUGCUACAUUUCAUAGGUUAAUAGGGCGUAGUUGGCAGGGGUGGACUUGCUUGGGAGGACUGGCUGGCUGGCUGGCUGGUUGGCUGUUUGGCUGGCUGGCUGGUUGGCUGGUUGGCUGGCUGGGAGGUUUGAAGAGACCCUCACACGAUUCAACUCUUUCCAAUCCUCUGUUGCUCUGCUUUAUUCAAGCUCGUAUUAUAUUCGUACAUGUUUUAUAUUUCACCCGUCAGCGAGCGAACUGCAGGAGGAGCACUCGAGAUGUGGAGGGAGAUUAAUGGAUGGAGUGAAUGACUGCAUGUACUUAGCUUUUCUGUGAGUAACUGAUGUAUUUCCUGCAACUUUCCCUCCCCUUCAUUAACUUUUCCCUAUGGCCUCUUCUCUAGCUCGACGUGGUAUUGUUUUUCUUUUUUGAUUAAUUAAUUUAUUUUUUUAUAUUUUACAGUAGAGGCAGUUAAAGGGUCUUUUAUUUCUGAAUUUGUGUUUGCCCUUAGGUCUUCCUCCUUUGUGAAUAAAAAAUAAAUGGUCUGGUGCAGGUUUUGAGUAUGAUUUCAAGACACAAUGGACAGGAAAACGAGAGGAAGACUAGUCAGGUUCCUGUGGGUCUUUCUCUCACUAGCAAUCCAAAAAUUCCUGUUAAACUGUCUUUGAGAUCACGAAAACACACCUGAUAACAUUCAUAAAAAAAAAAAUCAUAACUUCAUUUUCUCAACGGUACUGAUUGACACAGGCCACAGAGAAGACCAGUCAUGUUCCAAUAGGUGUUUCUAUCUCUUGCAAGCCAAUGACCUGUUAAACUUUGUCUCUGAAACCACGAAAACACACACGAAAAACGUACUAACUCAAGAAAACACACGGAAACCCAAGUAGCUCAAGAAAACACAAGAAAAACUCAGGAGAAACACACGCAAUAAACCUAGUAACUAAAAAAAAAAGAAUAAAAAACAUACAAACCUUAGUAACUUAAAAAAAAAAUUACUAAAAACAAAACAAAAAACUAGUAACUAAAAAAAAAACACUACUACCUCAGAAAAAAAAAAAAACGGAAACACUAAUAACCCUCCCCCCAAAAAAAAAAAAAAA